AGCGAACGCUGGCGGCGUGCCUAACACAUGCAAGUCGAACGUGAAAAGGGAAACCUGAGUAAAGUGGCGUACGGGUGAGUCACGCGUAGGUAAUCUACCCCAGAAUCUGGAAUAACCUGCCGAAAGGCGGGCUAAUACUGGAUAGAGCGAGGGAACUCGUAAGAGAGUUUUUCGGGAAAGGGAGCCCGCAAGGGCCUUCGUUCUGGGAUGAGCCUGCGUCUCAUUAGCUAGUUGGUAAGGUAACGGCUUACCAAGGCGAUGAUGAGUAGCUGGUCUGAGAGGAUGAUCAGCCACACUGGAACUGAAACACGGUCCAGACUCCUACGGGAGGCAGCAGUGGGGAAUCUUGCGCAAUGGACGAAAGUCUGACGCAGCCACGCCGCGUGAGUGAAGAAGGCCUUCGGGUUGUAAAGCUCUGUCGGAUGGGACGAACAUCUUCAUAGUGAAUAGCUAUGAGGACUGACGGUACCAUCGAAGGAAGCACCGGCUAACUCCGUG
rnacentral:rRNA from 1 species